rnacentral:rRNA from 1 species
CACGUGAGGGGCGAGCGUUGUCCGGAUUUAUUGGGCGUAAAGAGCUACGUAGGUGGCUUAGUAAGUCGGGUGUGAAACCUCCAGGCUCAACCUGGAGACGCCACCCGAUACUUGCUAUAGCUUGAGUCCGGUAGGGGAGCAUGGAAUUCCUGGUGUAGCGGUGAAAUGCGCAGAUAUCAGGAGGAACACCAGCGGCGAAGGCGGCGCUCUGGGCCGUACUGACACUGAGGAGCGAAAGCGUGGGGAGCAAACAGG